UGGGGAAUAUUGCACAAUGGGCGCAAGCCUGAUGCAGCGACGCCGCGUGAGGGAUGACGGCCUUCGGGUUGUAAACCUCUUUCGCUAGGGACGAAGCGUAAGUGACGGUACCUGGAGAAGAAGCACCGGCCAACUACGUG
rnacentral:rRNA from 2 species